UGUAGCAAUACACUGGUGGCGACCGGCGCACGGGUGCGUAACGCGUAUGCAACCUGCCCAUCACUUGGGAAUAACCUUGCGAAAGUAAGACUAAUACCCAAUGAUAUCCCACGAAGGCAUCGGAAUGGGAUUAAAGAUUUAUCGGUGAUGGAUGGGGAUGCGUCUGAUUAGCUUGUUGGCGGGGUAACGGCCCACCAAGGCAACGAUCAGUAGCCGGUCUGAGAGGAUGAACGGCCACACUGGAACUGAGACACGGUCCAGACUCC
rnacentral:rRNA from 1 species